UACAGAGGGUGCGAGCGUUGUCCGGAAUCACUGGGCGUAAAGGGCGCGUAGGCGGUGGCUUAAGCGUGUGGUGAAAGCUCAGGGCUCAACCCUGAGUCGGCCGUGCGAACUGGGUCACUGGAGCAUGUCAGAGGCAGGCGGAAUUCCGGGUGUAGCGGUGGAAUGCGUAGAGAUCCGGAAGAACACCGGUGGCGAAGGCGGCCUGCUGGGACAUUGCUGACGCUGAGGCGCGACAGCGUGGGGAGCAAACAGG
rnacentral:rRNA from 1 species